GGUUUGCUGACGAGUGGCGGACGGGUGAGUAAUGUCUGGGAAACUGCCUGAUGGAGGGGGAUAACUACUGGAAACGGUAGCUAAUACCGCAUAACGUCGCAAGACCAAAGAGGGGGACCUUCGGGCCUCUUGCCAUCGGAUGUGCCCAGAUGGGAUUAGCUAGUAGGUGGGGUAACGGCUCACCUAGGCGACGAUCCCUAGCUGGUCUGAGAGGAUGACCAGCCACACUGGAACUGAGACACGGUCCAGACUCCUACGGGAGGCAGCAGUGGGGAAUAUUGCACAAUGGGCGCAAGCCUGAUGCAGCCAUGCCGCGUGUAUGAAGAAGGCCUUCGGGUUGUAAAGUACUUUCAGCGGGGAGGAAGGGAGUAAAGUUAAUACCUUUGCUCAUUGACGUUACCCGCAGAAGAAGCACCGGCUAACUCCGUGCCAGCAGCCGCGGUAAUACGGAAGGGUGCAAGCGUUA
rnacentral:rRNA from 1 species